rnacentral:rRNA from 1 species
GAUGAACGCUGGCGGCGUGCCUAACACAUGCAAGUCGAGCGAAGCGGGGAGGGGUGAGUAACACGUGGAGAAACUCCCAUAAGACCGGGAUAACCUCGGGAAACCGGAGGUUAAACCGAAUCUUAUAGAAUGUUCCGCUGUGCAUUAGCUAGUUGGUAAGGUAACGGCUGACCGAGGCAACGAUGCCUAGCCGGCCUGAGAGGGUGAUCUGCCACACUGGAACCAGGACACGGUCCAGACGCCGAAGGAGGGCAGCAGUUGGGAUUCUUCCGCAAUGGGCGAAAGCCUGACGGAGCCACGCCGCGUGCGCGAUGAAGGUCUUCGGAUCGUAAAGCUCUGUUAGUGGGGAAGCGGUACCUGAACAAAAAGCCACGGCUAACUACGUGCCAGCAGCCGCGGUAAUAC